rnacentral:sRNA from 2 species
CAGGCUGUCAUUGGGGAGUAGCCUCCUUCCUUGAGUGAGAGGGGUUUGCGUCAACAGACUUGUCUGGCCUUGCAACAGGGCCGGCAUGGCGCAAACGGUUUUCCGGACUUGGCGAGACCUUUGACUGCACAGCCUCCAUAGCUUGAAAAAGUUAUAGGCCGGGGUCGUCGUGCAGUCAUGGGUUUGUACCGGCCGGAGUCAUU